CCUACGGGCGGCAGCAGUGAGGAAUAUUGGUCAAUGGGCGCGAGCCUGAACCAGCCAAGUCGCGUGAAGGAUGACUGCCCUACGGGUUGUAAACUUCUUUUAUAAAGGAAUAAAGUGAGGCACGCGUGCCUUUUUGUAUGUACUUUAUGAAUAAGGAUCGGCUAACUCCGUGCCAGCAGCCGCGGUAAUACGGAGGAUCCGAGCGUUAUCCGGAUUUAUUGGGUUUAAAGGGUGCGUAGAUGGGUUGUUAAGUCAGUUGUGAAAGUUCGCGGCUCAACCUUAAAAUUGCAAGUGAUACUGGCAGUCUUGAGGACAGUUGAGGUAGGCGGAAUGCGUGGUGUAGCGGUGAAAUGCUUAGAUAUCACGAAGAACCCCGAUUGCGAAGGCAGCUUACUAAGCUGUGACUGACAUUGAGGCUCGAAAGUGUGGGUAUCAAACAGGAUUAGAUACCCCAGUAGUC
rnacentral:rRNA from 1 species